rnacentral:tRNA from 1 species
ACCAGAAUAGUUCAGAUGGUUAGAACGCUACCCUCAAGGUGGAACUCAGGAGUUCGAGUCUCCUUUCCGGUC